rnacentral:rRNA from 1 species
UAACACAUGCAAGUCGAGCGGUAACACAGGGAGCUUGCUCCUGGGUGACGAGCGGCGGACGGGUGAGUAAUGUCUGGGAAACUGCCUGAUGGAGGGGGAUAACUACUGGAAACGGUAGCUAAUACCGCAUAACGUCGCAAGACCAAAGAGGGGGACCUUCGGGCCUCUUGCCAUCAGAUGUGCCCAGAUGGGAUUAGCUAGUAGGUGGGGUAACGGCUCACCUAGGCGACGAUCCCUAGCUGGUCUGAGAGGAUGACCAGCCACACUGGAACUGAGACACGGUCCAGACUCCUACGGGAGGCAGCAGUGGGGAAUAUUGCACAAUGGGCGCAAGCCUGAUGCAGCCAUGCCGCGUGUAUGAAGAAGGCCUUCGGGUUGUAAAGUACUUUCAGCGAGGAGGAAGGUGUUGAGGUUAAUAACCUCAGCAAUUGACGUUACUCGCAGAAGAAGCACCGGCUAACUCCGUG